rnacentral:rRNA from 1 species
UACGAAGGGGGCUAGCGUUGCUCGGAAUCACUGGGCGUAAAGCGCACGUAGGCGGAUUGCUAAGUCAGGGGUGAAAUCCUGGAGCUCAACUCCAGAACUGCCCUUGAUACUGGCGGUCUCGAGUCCGGGAGAGGUGAGUGGAACUGCGAGUGUAGAGGUGAAAUUCGUAGAUAUUCGCAAGAACACCAGUGGCGAAGGCGGCUCACUGGCCCGGUACUGACGCUGAG